AUGUGCUGCUCUUCCUGGUGGUGAGCGGAGGGGGUCUGAUAACUUUUGACCCGAAAGCAAUAUGGGACGAGUCCUGCGGUGUAGGACCCCUUGUGAUGGAUGCUUUGACACCAGGUGUCUCUUCUAGUAAACAGACAUGCACAAAACACUUACAAAAUCUUAGCUGAUAUAACCCUAUAAACCCCACAUUUAUAUUUGAUAUGCAAAUUUCUGAGGCUUCUNAGACCCGAAAGCAAUAUGGGACGAGUCCUGCGGUGUAGGACCCGUUGUGAUGGAUGCUUUGACACCAGCUGUCUCUUCUAUCGGCAGGUUCAUUCUUCAUCGUGAAGAUGUGGCGGACCUUACAGCAGGCAGAGAUGAUGAUGCCAUCCAGAGACAGGAAGCACGUCCUUCUGAAUAUCUCAGCGGUAACUGCAUCUUGUGUGUUUGACUGCUGCCUUCAACACUGUAUACAAAGCCCUUCACUUCUUUAUCAAACACUUGUUAAAAAAUUGAAAAUAAAAUCAAUAAAAAAUGAGAUUAUUUACAGGGCAGAUUCAGCUAUACAAACUGUGUCUCUAAGAAUCUGUAUUCCUUUUUACGCCAUUGAAUGCUGUGUUUCUAAGGUUUUUCAUCAUUAUUAUCUCUAAGGUUUUUCUUUUAUAUUUACAUUUU
ensembl:lncRNA